CAUGGACACAGAAACAUGAAUUUCUGACGAGGAAUGGAGGCACAAAAAGAGGAAGACGGCGAUAACAAUGAAUGGGGUGUCGAAGUAGAUUGGUGUUGUGAAGUGCAAACAGAAUGAGCCGUGUGCUGGACCGAGUUCUGGAGGGGCAAUAGAAGUGCAUGAGGGUAAAUUAAGUGAGGUGGAAGGUGUUGUGAAGGGCUUGGAACCCAAGCUUAGCAUCAUUGGACUUGAUAAAGAAGAAUCUGGUCCACCAGGAGUGACAUUUUUGGAGAAAGUGGACCUUUCCCUUGGGCUGAUCCAUGUGGCUUCAGGGUGGGUGAGAAACGAGUUGGGUGCAGUUGAAUCAGUGAAGGUAACCUGUAGUGGACUUGUGAUAUUUGUUUGUUUCUUCUAAUCAGAGGGAGCAGGCACUCCGUGUCACACAACUUGGGUCAAGAUCGGUUUCUUACUUUGAUCUUAGGAACAGGGUAUCAUUGAAAGCAGGGAUUUCUGGGGUAGUGUUAAGUGUGAAGGUGGAGCAAUUGAAGUACAAGCUCCUUGGAAUUUGCGUCGCCCGCGCUGUUUGGUGCGACGCCCGCGCUGUUUGGUGCGACGCCCGCGCUGUUUGGUGCGACGCCCGCGCUGUUUGGUGCGACGCCCGCGCUGUUUGGUGCGACGCCCACGCUGUUUGGUGCGACGCCCACGCUGUUUGGUGCGACGCAAACCCGGUGGGGAGGGUGGUGAAACAGAGGAGCCACCGGCAGUCCUUAUGAGGUGUCAGAAUCUCUACCUGACAAAGUCAUGUUAGGAUAUAUCUGUUAUCCGGUUAGAGCUUUUGUGCCAAAUCCACUGAGCUGUUUCAGGUGCAACGUUUAUGGUCAUGUAGCAGCAGUUUGAAGGAGGGAGUUUGCAAUAUGUGGGAAGUGUGCAGGAAGGCAUGGGAUAGAGGAUUGUGUAGUUUCGGAGGAUAAAGUUGUGUGUGUCAACUGUAGGAGUGCCAAUGUUGCUGGGGAUCGGAAGUGUUCGGUGUGAGAGAGGCAGGUUGAGGUGGCUAGAGUCAGUAGUGUAGAAGUUGUUGUAUGCUGAGGCAGUGAAGAAAUUAGAGGAUGGGUCAAGGGUGUGAGUAGAUUUGUGCCAGCACAAAGGGAUAAGCCAACGAGUGAUUUAUGCUUCAGUAAGUUUGGCUUCUUAUUGUUCAUAGCAAUGGCUUAUCAAUUGUACCGCAGCAAUGGAACUUAAAUUGAAGAAAAUAGAGGUGGUGGCAGCUGCAGAUAAGUAUUAGUCUAUAAUUAAAUCUCUGCCAGAAUGUGUCAUCUCUCCCAUGUCUUACUCGACUAGUAUUUUUGAAAGCGUAAGGAUAAUAAUUCAGCCAUUUAUUGCUUGCCAACAUUUUACUCCCUCUGUUUAAUAUAACACACAUACAUUCAUUAUUAAUUUCGGUUGCCUCUCCUGACGUGAAGUGUGUUCUAUAGAAAGUAUUUGACUCUAGCCACAAAAUUAGAAGGGGGGGAUUCUGGUAGGGUGGUGAUUUUAGGCACAACACCGCCAUCCCCUCGCUACUAGAAUGGAAACGCCAAGCGGAUGCUUCACAUUUAUACAUCCGGUGAAAUAUCUGUCUCGUUGUUCCAUCUGUGAGUACAGCUGUCUAGUCGCGGCUAAAACAGAGUACAUUCACAUUAGCAUGGAAUGGAGAAUCUAACAUACAGUUGCAUAAAAACUACGAUUUGUUACUAAUUCAGACAUGGAUGGUCAUGAAUCUAUAAGCCGCUUGCUACCCAGCUAACUUUUCCAGAGCCCAUGGCUCUGCAACAUUCUCUUUGUUCCCGCGUUGACUGACAACUAGCCAGAGGGGAAAUACAAUGGCUAACUGGUUGGCUAGUAGUAGCGAGUAUAACGUUAACUGGCUUAUGUCGACGAAGCGAACUUGCCAAAAACCCAGAGACGACUUUGAGGUCGAGGUAAAUACGCGGAGACGGAACAGUUAGCAUUUUUACUUAAGAUAACUAGCUAUGAUAACAAGAUGCGCUAGCUAGAUGGGAAGGAGAGCUAACGUUAAUGUUAGCUCGUACUAGCCAACUCACAUUCAUACUAAAUCAAAAAACGCACCAUUUAAUGACCAUUGUUAAAUCGAUUAGUAACUCACGAUUUGGAAAAAUUCUUCAUGUUUAAACAAUAUUCAAGAUGUCCCGUCGACUUCACCAGUUUGACCACCAUGCCUAACAUAGCCAAUUACCAUAGCUACAUAUGAUUUUAGGAAUUCUUUGAGCAAGUCUUUGUUUGGAGGGCCUGUGCGUGAGAACCCAUAGCAGGAUACCAUUUACUAGCGAGUCCUGCAAUUUAACAACUCGCAGUCUUCAUUUCUACUUUCCCGCUGCUAAUUCCCAUUCACACUACCAUCAAAUAAAAAGAAACAGUCAAACGCGGAGAUUUCGAUUCGAGGUAAAGCGAAAUCGGAUAGCAAUCAUUGGCCGGAGCCAGCCACAAACCUCCAAUACAGCCCUGGUUGGUUAGCUUCUCUAAACGGCCGUGUGGU
rnacentral:lncRNA from 1 species